rnacentral:rRNA from 1 species
UACGAAGGGGGCUAGCGUUGUUCGGAUUUACUGGGCGUAAAGCGCACGUAGGCGGAUUGUUAAGUCAGGGGUGAAAUCCCAGAGCUCAACUCUGGAACUGCCUUUGAUACUGGCAAUCUCGAGUCCGGAAGAGGUUGGUGGAACUGCGAGUGUAGAGGUGAAAUUCGUAGAUAUUCGCAAGAACACCAGUGGCGAAGGCGGCUCACUGGCCCGAUACUGACGCUGAGGCACGAAAGCGUGGGGAGCAAACAGG